rnacentral:lncRNA from 1 species
UCAGAGCUGCAAAAAGCCUGCGGCGCUCGGAGGCGCCCAGUCCUGGGGACCUCUUUCCUCUACUCUUUAUUCUCAGCAUAGGAAGAUGGGACUGGGGAAUUCUUUUUGGUUUUCUGGUUUUGUUUUGCUCUGGUUUUGGUCGGGUUUUGUAUUUUCCUAUUCUUCCUUGGUUUUAUUUUUUCCUUUUUUUUUUCUCUUUUGCUUUUUUCUUUUCUGUCAUUCUCCCAGCCAAAAGCCGCCUUCGACCCUUUUGAUUUGAUGUAGCAAAGAGUGUGUGUCCAGAUUAUCUGAAAUAGACACUGAAGAAGCUACACAGAUGGUGAAGCAGGGCCCGGAAGAAGACCAUUCAGAAAAAAAGCGUUCCAGGGUUCGUGAUGGGCUGCCGGCAGACCAGUGUGGCUCAGAUCUGGUGACUUUUUGGAGAGGACAGCAGACACACGAGGACCUUGACUUCGGCGCACAGACGGUGCAAAAAGGAGACAAAGACGGACAGAACCGAAAAAAGAGCAUAUUUCCCCCUCCUACGUAAUUUUUUUUUCCUGAUAGUCUCACAAAGCUGAGAGUCUGGUCGGGUCCAGCGGCUUGUCUUGUUGCACUGGCUGUCUCCAGUGGUUGUGCCUGCGCUUUGAGGUCACUCUGCUGUCACCGUGGCCCAAACCAGGUUCAAGCCCAGAGCUGAAAAGUCGCUGGGCCAGAUUUUUAGGGGCUCCGAGGAGGCAGCAAGCCUUCACUGUUCCUUUUUCUUUUAUUU